UACGUAGGGGGCAAGCGUUGUCCGGAAUCAUUGGGCGUAAAGCGCGUGUAGGCGGCCCGGUAAGUCCGCUGUGAAAGUCGGGGGCUCAACCUCGAAUGCCGGUGGAUACUGUCGGGCUAGAGUGCGGGAGAGGCGAGUGGAAUUCCUGGUGAUAGCGGUGAAAUGCGCAGAUAUCUGGAGGAACAUCAGUGGCGAAGGCGACACCCUGGACUCAUACUGACACUGAGGUGCGAAAGCGUGGGGAGCAAACAGG
rnacentral:rRNA from 1 species